UUUCGCCACCUGCUGCGCAAGCUCAAGCGCAAGGACCCAGGUUCGAUCCCCGGUACCAAAAAAGAAGUCAGCAGUGUCGUUGACGCAGAAGUACACUCGAGGGUGGUUCUAACCCUGUUGGGACAUUGCUCUGCUUUUUAAUUGAUAAUGUCUUUCUUUAAUCAGUUUCUCCUUUUUGUUUUCAACUGAGGGUAUAUUGCACUUUAGUAUUUUAGAAGUUUACAAAAUUCUUUUGGAAAGAGGCUUGAGAUACCUUACUGUCAUUAUGGUGGUUACACUUAAUGACAUUUUGUAGGGAACCCUGGUAGUAUUUCCUGGGGUCUUUCUUCAUCUUUUAGUUAUUCUCUUACCUGCUGUUGAUUCCUUCACUGUCCUCCGGUAUCCUCAUUCCCCCCAGUUCUGUGAAACCUGGUGAUCUGGGUGUCCUUUAAGUGGGUCCAGUGAGCAGGCGCUGGCCCCAUGAUGGAAGCUCAGCAAAGGACAGCCAGCUCUCCUCCCCUUCAGGAGGCUCGAGAGGAGGGAGGUUUGUUUAAAUACUGGAAGCUGGCAGCAGGGGACGCUGCAGAGCAAUAUGAUGUCUGCCGAACUCUAGAAAAGCACUGCCUUCUCAGUAACUAACUAUUCCAGCCGGCACUGUAGACAGUGCUGGUCCCACCCUUCCAGUUGUUCAGUUGAUGUUUUAUCCAGGCAGUGUGGCUUUCUGGAAUCAAUCUGUACACUGUAUGAAAACUUCUUGCACAUAUCCUUAAAAAAAGAAGACCGAAAUAAGCAAAUAUUCAGAUCAGCACCACCCCCAUCAUUACCACCACCAUGCACACCUCUCUGAUGUGUAAUAAAAGAAACCUGCAGGCAUAAUUUGUUAUGUAAUAUGCUGAUAAUACAAGUUUCUGUUUUAGAUGGAAACCAGAUGUAGACAGACUCUUUUUUAAUUGAUCCAGCAAGGGGGAAGACUUAUGUAGAUUAACUAGUUCUUGCAGACCCUAAAGGUGGUUUGUUUUUGUUUUAACUUAAAGAGAGAAUCUCAAUUUCAGGACAUUUUUGAGGUUUUUGCCUCUCAGCCUCUGCUUUGCUGCAGCUGUCCUUUUUGUCAGACUCCUCUCUUGAAAGAACUAGUUUGCUGCCAGCAGGAAGCACGUGGCUGGGCCUGGCUGGGCUCAGCAAAACUUACCUCUACUGGGCUCCAGUUCUCCUCAUUGUCUUGUUCUGCUGCUGCCCUGUCCUCCACCUUAUAAAACAAGACCUAGCUGAGGGACUUAGGUGCUGCAAGGAAUGUUGGCAGUCUUCUUUGAUACCUUUCUUAAACAUCUGAUCAUGCAGGGGAGAGUUUCUGUUUAUAUAUUUGUUGAUGAAAACACUUUUCCAAAAAUUACUGACUCUCCUCUGAUUAGUUUGUUUAUUUCAUGCCUAAUUUUAUGAAGGUUCUUUCUACACAACUGAGUCACCAUUGUUAUGGCCCAGGGUUAGGGACUGCACUAUAAUAGCUGACCCCAUUAACAGUAGUUUCAUUGCAUGCUGGGAUGUGAACUUUGGAAACAAACCCAGAGGCUUAGAUAUGCUGAUGUGCCCUGAGACUUGCUUAGAAAAUUUUUGUUUUAGUGCAGUUUACAUUAACAUGAUUAAUGACUAUGCCACUGAAAAGUCUAUAUUCAAAAGCAAUUUACUGUUCCCUAGGGUUCUUCUUAUGGUGGAGUAAUAUUCUGUGCCAAACAACAUUAUUUUUUAAGGUAACUUCUUUGAUACUUAAUCCAAACCUCCUGUGGACAUGGUUUGGGGACAAGGUUUGGGUUUUGUAAGCUUCAGGUUGUGGUUUUGGUGGUGCCUGUCAACCUUAACAAACUCGGGUCAGAAGGAAGCUAGAUUCUUGUCUAAGAAAGUUCUCUGAGAUCCUGAGCAGUAGUUAGGAUGGGAAGAAAUCUUCCGGAGGAAACUUGGCUUCAGGGUAUGUUGGAGGGGAAUGCCAGGAGGCUGGAGCUAAGGACAGUCUUUUUGUUUUUGUUUUGUUUUUUUUUCCUCGAAGGGUCUGGAGAUGCUUGAGUUUUUCCUUGGCCUUUUUGUUUUUGUUUUUUGUUGUUAAAUGUGGGUUGAUUGAGAGGGGAAAUGAUGAUGGGUGGAUCUGAAAGCAGCCUUAGGAACUGCAGAAAAUAAAAACACAUUUGAAGGACUCUGGAAGAUUUUGCAUUUCAAAGGGUCUACCUUGUAGACUUUCACAUCACGUCAGGGGUUACGGAGAAGUGUGACAGGCACCCCUGCUUCUUAAACCAUUCUCCCCUCUCCUCCUGCUGUGGGGGCUGCCUUUUGCAUGGGGGAUGGAGGCAGCUUGGUCAGACCACGCAGGAGCAUCGUGGAAACAAGAGUACCUCCCAGGGAUCUGUGAGGCUCUGGAGGGACUUGUUCCACGGGGCUGCUCUUGGGAAGAUGAAAGCAAGUCGUGUUGGUAAACAGCUCAUUUGACCCCAGAAUGCUGUGGCAGGCCAACUCCUGACUUCUCUACUCCCUCCUUUCGUGCUCCUAUUACACAGAGCAGCAGAUUCAUUCUCUGCCUUGGUAUAAUGUGGUUCUCAAGGGCUUUUCCCAAAUGGAUGCACACUGUUGAAAGAUUCAUAGCAGUACCCACUGGUCAUUGAAAAAUGCCCCCUGGGCUUGGGGCUUUCCGUACACUCUAAUUUCUCAAAGCCAGCCUGCAGUUACAGCUAAAGAAACUGAGGUUCAGAGAGGCCAGGUAAUUGGUGCAAGGUCACACAACUGGAAGGCAGAGAAGACAGUAGCACUAUCCUGAUUUAUUUGGCUUCAGAGCCUCCUUGCUUUCCAUAUACCAUGAUAUUGGUUGGGGUAUUUAUAAGAUAGAAGCACUGGGUUCUGUUUUAUCUCAAAGCAUAAAUUUUGUUUAGUCUUGUUAACACCACAGGGAAACUUAGAAAUUUUAACUGCCUCUUCUCCCUGCCUCUCCCUUUCCUAUGGCUUUUUUUGUGUGUGUGUGUGAUUGAAUUCUGAAUUUUCUGCAGGGCUAAAGACAGUGCCAACUGGGGAGACUGAAAUGUUUUGCUUCAUCUUUACAAAAGACAGAUUCACAAGAAAAUAUAAUUAUUCCCAGUGACCUUCUGGGGGAAACAGGAAAUAAAUCUGGCACUCACUAGAAGCAUCACCAUUCUUUUAGAUUCCAUUUUCUAUUCAAAGAGAUUAUUAAAGGGUUUCUAACGUGUGUGUGUGUGUGUGUGUGUGUGUGUUUGCGUUUGCAAUUCAAAUGUCUCAAAUUAUGUUUUGGGGUAUGGCACCUCAGGUUUGUAGUUUGUACAUUUUGUUUACAUGCCUAAUGUAAUCACGCUUGUACAUCUUCCAGCAUGGUAGAACUUGGUACACUCCAGCCAGGCAGGGCCAGGCAGAGGCCUUGUGUUCUGUCUCAGACAGAUGGCUCUUUGCAGGUUGGUCCUGAUUUGUGUUGAAGGGGAAUGAGCCUGCCUGCCCGGGUCUUUUGUCCAUUCUGCCCCUAAUGAGCUUAUGGAGGAGGCCUGAGGCAUCUGUGUUGUGGGUUUCUGGAAACUAGAGCAGUGGUUCUCAGCCUUGGCUGCACAGUAGAGUCACCUGGGGAGAUUUAGAAAAAAAACCUGGCUGCCCAGUGUUCAUCCAGGACAGUUGCAUCACAACUUGGGAGAGGGGAUAGGACCCAAAUAUGGGGGGUUUUUUUUGGUUUGUUUUUUUUUUUGGUAAUGGGGAAUCGAACUCGGGACCUUGCGUUUGUGAGGCAGGCGGUGGAACCACUGAGCUAAAUCCCUGGCCCUAAUAUUAUAGAUAACUCUUUAAAAAAAAAAAAAAAAAUGGGUAUUUUCAAUGUUCCUGAGUUGAUUCUGCUGUGCAUGCAGGACAGGACUGAGGGUGGGAGUAGACUGUACCAUACCUACCACACUUUGCUUUCCUUAGGAGUGGGAACAUACCUUUUGGAAUUUUCCACUGCUGCCAUGUCUUGGUGAAGAAGAGUUUGAAACAGUGAUAGUAAACCUUUUAGACCUUUCAGUAAUAUUUGACAAGUGGCCUGCUGUGGGACAUGUGCCAUAGGUUUGCUACCCCUGGUUUAAAAGGUACCCACCCCUUGGGCAAAGUGCCUGCUGUGGAUAUCAUCUAGGUACUCUAGUCCUAUUUCUGCCAGCCCAGGAUGUGGGCAUACUUCCCUGCCCAGGGUUCAGUAUAUCCCUUCCAAGCCACCUUCUCUACAGAAUGAAGAUGGCAAGUGCUGCCCAGAUUGUAGUUUCAGUCCCCGCCUCCCAACCAUCCUGGGGUCUUGUUCCUUCUGGAGUUUUGGCAUAUGGUAUGCUGUGGGGGUUAGGGAAAGGAAGAUGCAGUUUAUGUCCAGAGCACAUUUUGGUGAUCUCAGUAAUCAGUUGGCAUUUGGAAGUGAGUGUCACACUGUCAGCCACUCAGUUGUACCUAACAGCUCAGACUUAGCCUCCUACAAACAUACUUGGGAUUGCAUUUCAUAGAAUUGUGUUUAGAAUGGUGAGGAGCCCUGGAGAGUGAGAGCUGCUCUGAUCUGCUGAUUUAAGCUUCCAGAGAGAGAUCUGACUCCCAAGAGCUGAAGUGACUCUUCCAAGGUCACAUAGCAGAGCUUAGAGGGGCAGAUGUGCAUCUAUUGAGUCCCUGGCCCAUAGCUGCAUUCCCUUGAUGUGGGACCUUGUUCCUACUUCCAGGUCAGUCUGUUUUUGCAUAGACCAGAAGGUGACCUGUCAUUGUUCAGAGCCAAGGGAAUAUGCUCAGUGACUCUUGGGCAACUGUGACGGACUGUGCCAGUUUUGGCCCCCUCCACUGAUUUGGAGCCUCAGGACUCCCGGAGGUUGGCUGGGCCAGACUCUUCCUCUGCUGGACGAUAGGUCCCGAUGGAAAGUGCUGAAGUUCAGUGAGAAUGAUGUUGGCCUUUUUGUCAAAAGUCUGUCCUUUUGCUCUUUUGUGCCAUGGUGGUAGUCAGUAAAUAAGAGCUCUACUCCAUGGUGGGAGGUAGCUUUGGGCCUGGUGAGGGGAAAGAGGAGCGUUGUUAUUUUCUCCAGGCCUAUUAUUCCCACAUUCAUCCAGCAGACCUUGACUGGGCCCCUACUGAGUGACUGGCAUGGAGGUGGGUACUUUAGUUCUUUAGUUUAAUUACUCCUCGACAGUCUGGCUGAGGAUUGGCCCCAGUUUAUUGCUGAAGACACUGCUUCUCAGAGGAAUCACAUACCCUAGCAAGAGGACGGUUGGGAUUUGAUCUCCUUCUUCCCACCACACCAUGCUUCCUCUUUAUCCAGUGCCUGCCAGCGCAAAGGCAACCAGCUUCCUGCUGUGCGUAAUGUGUGUUGUCCUGUGGGUGCUCCCCUGGUGACAGCUAACAGGGUGCCAUGCUGCUACUUCCACCAAGGGGCCUUGGGUGGCUGAGUGGUAGAUUUACUGGCUGGGCCUUCAAGUUCCUGGAGAGCUGGGCUUCUCUAGAGUCUUUGUCCCUGCGGUGCCCUUUGUCAAGGAAGUGGCUUGUAUAGGUUCUAGUUGUCGCUGUCUGCCUUCUGUCUCACCCCAUGGAAGCCACCCUCCCUGCCAGGCUGCCCCCUGGUUGAAGCACGAAGCGCCCUGCAGCGCAAAGCCUGGCUGGGAGAGGAGGCCUGGAAUUCCCCUUGCUCUGGCAUUUGUAUUGGCCAGGGGCCUGGGAGUGGAGGGGAGGUUCCAUCUGCUGGCUGGGAGCAGCCUCUUUGCAGGUUUGGAGGUGGAAAGACAGUGUCUCUGAAGCCGGCCUCCUCCAUGCUCUGGGUGAGGACAGGGAGCCUGUUUCCUGGGGCCCAGGGGUGGGUGGGGAAUCUAUUGUUCUGAAUCUUGGAAAAGGGUACAGAAUGCAAGGGAGCCCUCUGGCCCCAGUACUGGGGGCUGGACCCUGGGAACCACCUUCUCAUGAAAUCUCUCCUGCUGUCCAAUGAUUGAAUCUCCCAGGUAGGAGGUAGGAGUACGGUAUCGCUUGCUUGCUGUACCCAGUUUGCCCUGCUAGCCACUCUGGGCCUCAGGUUUCCCCACCUUGUUGGCCCUACCUCCUAGGACUGAGAGUCUGUUUGAGAAGCCCCUUGCAGAGGGUGAGGUGCAUACAGAAGGACUUGAGGUGAGAGAGGAGUCUGACUGGACAGGCAGAGAUUCUGCAUGAGAUCCAAGGCAGGCUUUGUGCCAACAGGGGCCUUCUUGUUAUAGAGAAGCUUGAGGCAGAGUGUAGGUGAAACCCAGUUCUGCAUCAUUUAGGGCAAAGACAGCAUUCAGCUCUGGAAUCAGAGUCCCUGGGUUCAAAUCCCAGGUCUGCCCAUUGCUGCCUGUGCACUUGAGCAGGCGACUGUCUUUUCCAUCCAGGGUUGCCCCAUCUGCAAUAUGACACUGCUGAUAACAGCCCAUGGGUUCAGGGCACUGAGUGAGACCAUGGUGAGGACACUUAGAGCCCAGUGGACAUUAUUGGCAAGCAUGUGCUGUUGGCAGGACAGGUGGAGGGCUCAUGGGUGAAGGACAACAGGAGAGAGUAGAGGGGACUUAGGUUUGAGCUGGGCUUGGCUGGACAGGUCACAUUGGAGAGACAGCCUUAGCUCAUCUGGCAUUCUGUAUUCUCAGAUGACUUGGGAUUUUUUUCAGGAGGAAGGGUUAAAAAUAUGCGUUAUAGUUCAGUUUGCAGUGUGUCUUUUAACAAGAGUUAAGACUGGUGAAAUCUUUUAAGCUUUCUCUUUAGGAAACUAAAUCUCUGUUUACAAAAAGUGAUUUAGUUUGGCCCAUAGAAAAUUAAAUGCAUGUAUGGGUCAUGAUGUGGCUUCAGAAUCUUGGCUGUGCUCUGACCGACAACUUCUGUGAAUGGGUUCUCAGGAAACCUCCAUAGCCAUGUGCCUCUCUGGACUGAGGGUGAGGGGUUCUCCUCUACCACCUCUCAGAUUUUCUUCAGAGUCUUUGGAGCUGAUGUCUUUGUUAUUGAGCCUGUUCUUUUGGGUUGGGGAGCUGCCUUUGACGACUAUAGUUAGCAUCCUCUUGGUUCAGAUUAUGUGGUCACAGCUAGAGUGCUCCCCCCAGCUCUGCCUAGGGUAUGAUUCCAGCUGCUUCCAGACCUCCUCCUGGCCAGCCUUCCCCUAGUGUGAAACUCAGUCUGUCCACGGAGCAAGCUUUUGGAAUGAGCCCUUGAGAAGAUGAGAGGGAAGGGUCUGAGCCUGUGAGGUGGUGUCUGGCCUUCUCUUGGCACAGGCUGCUAAUUCCUGAUACUUUUGCCCCUUGUCAGCCCUGGCCUGGCAUCCAGUGGGAUGAGCAGAGUGGGUGGCCUUGACACAUGACCUUUUUCUGCUGGACUUUGAGCAGCUCAGUGGUAAGACCCCUUUCUUUAUAUUAGAAGUCUGUGUUAUUGGUUCUGGGUGGGAGCUCUGAUUCAGACUGUGGCAGCUGCUUCCACUUGAGCUGGGCUUUGGUUGGAUGAUGAAAUCAUGAAGCUUUGUGACGGAGGGGCAGUAAAGGCAAGGUAACUGAGGUGUCAGGCUGCCUCCGGUCACAGUGGAUGUGACAGAGCUCAGCUGCCAAGUGGAGUAUGUCUUCUCACUCUUUGUGCCCUUUUCAGCCAUGUCCUUGUUUCUGUGGUGAGCACAGAAUACAUCUGCCAUGGUGGUGGUCCCCAGACUCAACUCACUUCCUAGUACUAGCAAACACCCAAUCUCUGUCCCCAUGCUGAGGAUCUCUCAGGACAUUCAAGGGACCAGGGCACUGGUGAGAAGAGUGUAGAUGGGGAAAGCUGAGCUGCUCAAGGUCAGGAUGGCAGUGGAGUGUAAGGUGAAGCAGUCUGGACUUUAAACCUGAAGGGCUGGAGUUGGAGAAUGAUGUGCUGAUGCUUGCAAUUUUGAAAGCUCCACAUCCCAGGAGUGGCAGUGCAGAGCAGGUUUAUAGCAGACAGCUUUGGAGGCCACUAUGUGGCCUGGGAGAGAGGUAGCUAACAAGGGCAAGGUGAGGGCAGCAGUCAGUCAGGAGCUGGAUGCUGGUGCAGGAGCAGAAGGCAGAGGAGUCAGUCUUCUCUAGUAGGCCUCUCUAAGUGUCACUUUCUGGGUGACACUGGCUAGGGUCCCAUCCCUUUUGACCUUGGAGUGACCUCUUUGGAAAGGCAUGUGACUAGUGCCUAACAGUGGAAUUUUCAUCACUUGCUGUCUGCUUGGCCAGAGUGAUAUGGUCUUUGUUUAUUUUUAGUUGCAGCUUGCAUUUGGUGGGGGCACAUGGGAUUCCCGACUUUCCAACAUCUCUUGCUUGUGCCUGCACUGGAACUAAAGAAGUCAAAACAAAUAAAACAUUUUGACAUGGCACAAGUUGAAGAAAUCCCAAUUAUUGUAAAACUACUUUAUUUUCCCUCCUCAAAGGGGAGAGAAAAAAAGCAUCUAACCGUGUUGGUUGGUGUGAUUGAAAAAUGCACCUUGGUGCCCCAGUGGCUCUGUUGCAGCAUGUUCUUAAAGGGUGGGGGAAGCUGCUGACAGAGACACUGAGAACAGCCUGCCUGGGUCACCUGACUGCGGCUGGCUGGGCUCCUGAGCCUCACCACCCUCAGAUGCCAGCCCAGAUUCCUGGCCCAGUUGGCUAUAUGGCAUGUGACUCAGGCUCAGAGGAGGAGAGGGAAUAAAAAAGUAGUAAACCUAUGAAGAAGCAGAGCUAUGGUUCAGCAGCCCCUCUCCUCUUUUGGAGGUACCUUUCCCACACCCUAUAUGGUUUUGUUCUUCAGCAUUUAUUCCUGAGGGGAAAGUAAGUUAACUGCAAAUGGUCUUGAUUUUGGCAGUGAACCUUCCUUUUCAUCUCAUUCCCAGGGAGGUUAAUAAAUACCUUCACCUAUUAGAAAGAAAAGUAAAAGAGAGAUUGGACCUGGCUGAGCCAAAAGAUGUGCUACAAACUGGAGUGAAAGAGUGACAUAGCCAAAAACAGGAGCCUAGAUCCUGCGGGGGUCAGUGCCCCAGGCUGCUGAAUGUGUGAUGUGCUGAGAUGAAUGUGUUUUAAUAUGCCUUGGAGGAAAGACGAAAACUUACUUUCCCCCACGCUUGUGUGAGAAUCAGGCAUGUCCUUGUGGAUUACAGAGAAGACUCCAGAAGUUGCUGUUAACAUGGUACCAUGUUACUGAAGCACUAUGAUAAGCUGCAUAAGAGCAUGGCAUGGCCAAUCUGAACAUGGUGGUGCAUGCCAGUAAUCCCAACUGCUUGGGAGGCUGAGACGGAAGGAUCCCAAGUUUGAGAUCCAGCAACUAGGGGCUGGGCCAAAAACAGAGCAAUGGAAACCUGAGAAGUGACCCCAGCCACACAGGGAUCAAUACCUAGUCUCCAACUCUCUUUAGCCACUGCUAGGGGCUCAAAACCAGGCCUCCACCUCCAAGGGCACCUGAAGCCUAAUCAAGCCACACAGUGCCUGCUUGAGGAAUAUCACCUGGUCUCUCCAGGCCCUACGGAUCCCCCUAGGAAUGGUACAGGAGGGGCUGUGCUCAGUUGCUCCCUAACAAGUACGGGGGGAGGGGUUGAGCCAGGCACACUUGGUUUGAAGCUUGGCAAGCUGGAGAACAGGGCAGACACCUGCUGGCCAUGCUUUUUUCCUCAUUGCUGGAGAUCAAACCCAGGACUUCAUGCAUGCUCAGCAAGUGCUCUACCACUGAGCUAUAUAGCUCCUGGUUUUUAUUUUUAUUUAUUUAUUUUAUUUUGUUUUUGAGACAAGGUCUCAAUAAGUUGCCUGGGCUGGCCUUGGACUUGUAAUACCCCUGCCUUAACCUGGGUGUCUGCCACCAUACCUGGAUGAUUCAGAAGGCUUGGUGGAGGAGGCAGUGUUGUGAAGGAUGAGACACAGACAGAAUUUGCAGUACUCUCCCACGUGCCAUACCUCAGGGGAGCUACCUUGUGAGGGUGUUCUGUGGCAACUGGGGACGUGUGCUGGGGUCCAGAACAGAAACUGGGAGAGCUUGACAUCCUAAAGCCCUCAAGAAAUUGUUGACUUUGUGUUUCUUUUUUUUUGGUACCGCGUUGAACUUGGGUCCUUGCACUUGCAAGGCAAGCGGCAGAACCACUGAGCCAAAUCCCCGGCCCAACUUUGUGUUUCUUAAUGAUUUCCUGUACAAAAGGAGCCUUCUACAAUAUAAGGCAGUACAAAUGGGUCUAGUCAGUCUGGUAGAAUCUUGGGUAGGGCAGACACGGGUUGGAAAAGACUGAGAGGAAGAGGAAGAGAAGGGCAAGGAACCAGGAAACAGGAGCACCAGUCUUCUUUUUUUUUAGUCAUGCUGCUUGAUUUUAUUUGACUCAGAAUCAGUCACUUCACUUCUCUGAGCUGCGAUUUUUCUCUCCUGGGAGUAGUAUUGCCAACUUCACAGCAGAGGAGGAGCACGUAAGAUCAUUCAAGUCAGAGUCUCUAGUACCUUCUCAUUUUCAUUUACUCCACAAGUACUUUUUGAAUGCCCACUGUGUGCUGGCACUGUGCUGAAUAUGUUAUAGGCUUUUUGUUUAAUUCUUAUAACCAUUCUGAGAAGUAAGUACUAUUAAUGCUCCCAGUCCUUUGUGUGGUUUUGGGGAUUGAAGCUAGGUCUUGCACAUGCCAAGUAUGCAUUCUACUACACCCCCAGCCCUCUUGUUCCCUUUUUAUAGGUAAAGAAUUUAGGGUUUAGUAAGAUCCCCAGGGUCAUCCAGCUGGUGGGCAGUAGUCCUAGGAUUUGGACUUUCAACUUAAUACUUUAUCAGGAGGUGGCAAACUAUAGCCUGAUGACCAUAUCUGGCCCGAUGCAUGUUUUUAUAGAUAAAAUUAUUUUGGAGCACAGCCACACCCAUUCGUGUGUCUGUUAUCUAUGGCUGCCUUCAGGCUACUGCAGCAGAAUGUAUGGACUGAAUGAAUGGUCUACAAAGCCUAAAACAUUUACUGUUUCACCCUUUACAAAAAAAAAUGCACUGAGCCCUUCUUAGUAUGGAUACUCUGAACUUCAGAUGUGUGUUCUUCAGUAUGGUAGCCACUAGCCUCAGGUAACUAUUUAAAUUGAAGCUAAUAAAACUGAAGUCAGAAAUGCAGUUCUUCAGUUACAUUAGCCACAUGUCAAGUGCUCAGUAGCCACCACAUGUUGGACAGUGCAGAUGCAGAACCUUGUUACUGUAGAACCUUCCAUUGGGUAGGAGAGCUCUAGGCUAUCUUCCAGUGUGUGGGGAAUCCAAAUCUGAGAGAACACUCUGGUAGAGGACCCUGGAGCUUUCUGGCCUAGGAACACAGAAUUGAGAAUUAGUUCAUUGACUCUGAGUUGAUGGAAACAUUUCUGCUGUGGCAGAGGUAACCUUGGCUUAACGUAAAGAGCACAGCAGACCACAGCCCUGCUGCUUUUCAGCCUAUAACCCCUGGUUCUGAACACCCCAGGACCCUUAAUCUCCCACUCUGCUGUGUCUACUCCCUGUGUGUUUGCAUGCCGGGGCCUGCGGAAAUUUGCAGAAACUCACUUUCCUGCAUUCAGAUCCUGCUCUGUACUGGACCACCUGGACCUGAUGGGUUAUACCACUCUUCUUGCUGUGCUGGGAGGAGAUUUCUGAUUGAUGCAGUGGCCAUGGACAGCUGAUAAGGAACUACUUUAUUCACUCAAAAUGGUGUCUCCUGUGUAGAAUGAGGAAGGAAGAUGAGAUCCAGGCCCCUCGGCUAGCUGGUGUCCUGCGGCAAUCCUUAGAAUGCGGUCCCAGCAGACAUCGCAGUGCAGUCGGGUGAGCUGCUGAGAGCUGGGCUGAACUGUAACUCUUGUCUUCCUUGGCCAAAUAUGCUUGGAAUAGGAAUCUUUGGGAAACUACUCAGACGUAGAGUCAUUCUGAGGUGUAAAGGCAAAUAUGGAUAGCAUGGAUUCCCAGUUCAUGGAAGCCAGCCAUAAGCAUAUGAGUGCCAGAACCAGCUCUCCCUCACUUGCUGAUGCACUCUGUGUGAGGAAAAGCAGUGUGGGUGCUUGCUGUAGGCCUGUUCAUGGUCUGGGCUGGCUGCACUGGCAUCUCUGAGAUGGGCUGUGUUGUCCAGGAGUCCAGUCUGCACAAAUCUCCUUUCCUUAGGCAGUGUUCACUCUUUUUAUAUCAGGAUGGAAAUAUUUAUAAAAAUGCAAGAAUAAGAUAGCAGCAGGGCUUUUCUAGAUAUCAGAUCAGAGUGAUAAAAGGAGAAAGACAUAAGCCCGGUGCAUCUAGCCAUAGAAGAGUUGCAUGAAAGAAGUAUCUAGGAAGGAGGAAGUUGGAAUUAGGAGGAUGUUCAUGGAAACAAUUUUUUUUCUUCUAUGCUUUAAAAGAGGAAACAUCCUGGGAAUAGCCCUUGAAGGCCAAACUUGAUUGCAUAUGCUUCUCCCUUCCCAUCUGCAUCUUUUAACACUUUGGUUGCUUCUGGCUGCCCACUCCCAGAAGAGUCUUCUAUGUCUUCUUUAACUAGUAUAGGGUAAGGUUAUGGCAGAUCAGGCUGUGCCCAGAACUGUUCCCUGCUGUCCCAGCACUCAGAAAAGAGAGCUAAUUGUGUGUGCCCCAAAAGAACCCUGGUAUGAAUCAGUAUAUAAUGAAAGUUGUCUCUUUUACAUGGAGAGAUGGAGUUUGUUGAAUACCUACUAUGUGCCAAGCUUUAUGUAUACAUUCUGAUCAGAUUGUCUCACACAUAGCCCUGCCUUACAGGAAAGGAGCUGAACUUGAGCCAUAUCUCUGAGUGUGGGCCACUGUGGGCUAGAGCCUGGCUUGGAACCCUGGUUCUUCUCUUCCAAGGCCUUUCUCUCUUACCCUGUUUUGUUCUUAGUCAUGCACUAGCUGCUGUUUGCAAUCUCUUCUCUGGAUGGUUCCCCAGUCACAUUGUUAUUGUGGUCUGUGGGCAGAGAAGUAGGUUGCUCUCUAUGGGGUGACAUUUAAGAAAGCCAGCUCCAUCGAACUUUCCCUUUGAAUGUGUUGUUAUGGUACAAGAAGUCUUCAUUUGUCCUGGGUUAUUUUGAAAUAAAAAGCAGGAAACUCCCCUCUUGUUUCUAUAUCUUGCAUAGAAGUCAUCCAAACAGAAUCCUCUGUUCUGUGCAGUAGUGGAGGGAGGAAGCAGCUGUUCUGUUCAUGAUGACCCAACCAAAGGCAGCAAUCUGGAGGUGUCAGGGAGCCAGAAUUAUCUGUCCCACCUGCUAAGUUUACUUGCAUUUAUUUAAAGUAUUUGGCUUGAAAACUCUUUCUUUCCCCCACCCCACUCAUGUGGGAGAAGCCAGAGGGAGCUUUCCUGGUGAUGGCAGGUCAGACCAGAGUCCCCUCUACUCCACCUAAUGUCACAACUUGCCCCUGGAAGGGAGGCACAGCUUCGGAAAGGAUCAACUAUCUUCUCCAUUCUGUGGCUGGAGAGGCAGGCCUCCACUGGGAUUGGGAGUUUCACGGGUCUACUUUGAUGUACAUGGAAUUUCACAUCUGAGCUUUCUAGCUGUUUGAGGCCUCUAGCGAAUUCACAGAAUGAGCCAGGGAGCGAUGCAGAUGGAUAUACAUGACUAUGGUUUGUUAAGGCCAAAGUGAGUCCACAUGGCUUUUUGAACCAAGAUGUAAACUUAUAAUUGUACUGUCUAGGUGUUUUCAGAGGUCUUAGUAGUUAGGAUCAUUUAGGAUAGAGUUUGUACACUGGUGGAGUGGGGGCCAGAUGUGGUCCUCAGACAUGAUUUGUUUGGCCCAAUGAUGCUUUACCAAUUUUUGAAUUUCUUGACAACAUUUAAAAACCAAGGGAUUGAACAAAGACUAGAUUUUUGGCUUUUCUUAACAGGCUAGACAAUUUUUAAUAUUACCCAGCGCCCUCUUUCCCUCAUAGCCCCACAGCAUUUAGCUGUAGCCAAAGCUGUCUUCUGUAGACGGGGCAUAUGCUCUGCAUGUGGUCAUAGUUCCUACCCAACAUGGCUCACUCAUUUAUGUUCUCCGCGUGACCCCAAAAGGCAUUUGAGUUUGAGAUUUCUGGAGUAGGCAAGAAAUUCAGAAGACAGAUUCAAAAUUUUUGGUUUUCUAGGUCAUUUGGUGCAAGGCAGGCUGUGGUGAAUGGUAGCUACUAGAGGAAAUGUCCAGGCUGCUAUUUCCUCUGCUCAAGGUCACUGCCCCCAUAAUUCGUGCUAGCACUUCCACCUGUAAGUAAACUCAUUCAUGAGCUGGAGCUCAGACAAGUCGACAUACUAACUGGUUUGUUUGUUUUUGGUACCAGCGAUCGAACCCGGGUCCUUGCACUUGCCAGGCAGGUGGCAGAACCACUGAACUAAAUCCCCGGCCUCGACAUACUAACUGGUAAUGUUAACUGCUAACUCCAGCCACCAAAUGUGUAUCUUAGGUCUCAGCCCAGGGCUCUUUUACCCCAAUGUCUGCCCCAUGUUGCCCUAUAGAUACCCAGAAACUGAAGGAUCCUUUCUGUCAUAUUGUAAUCUUCUUAGUCCAAUUUUAACACAUACUGCAAGGUUUUUUGUUUUUUUUUUUUUCAUACCGGGGAUCAAACCCGGGUCCUUGUGCUUGUGCAGCAGGCGCAAAACCACUGAGCUAAAUCCCUGACCCCCAAGUUUUUUAUUAAAACAAGUGUAAAUUAAAACACAAUUCUCAGAAUAUUCUAGUUUAUUCUUUUCAAUAGAAACUCAGUAAAACAAGUAAAGCUUCUCCAAAUGGCAAUAUACAUCUUAAGUAUUGAAGUUUUCUUUUCAAAUUUCCCUUUUAUUUAUCUUUUUCAUUCAGUGCUGUUUUUUUCUUCCUUUUGUGGCACUCUGCAAACAUUUUUUUCCUUCUGAAUGGUACCCAUUUUUCACUAUAUGGUCAGCCUUUGAGCUUCUUGGUGUCAUUCUGGGUUUUUUGCUGAAUUUGAGAAAUGCGGGCUAUAAAUCUCAUUGUUUGGGAACCCUUCCUGCCUCCCCAGAUUUGCAGCAGAAACAUAGCAUCCUUAUCUGCUUCCUCUUCCCACAUCAUCCUGUGCCUUCAGGGUGGGUUCAGUCACUGAUUUUGCUAGGCAAGGGCUCUUGGGAAGGGGCCCAAAGGCCCUGAUGAUGCCAGUGUCCUUCUUGAGUGUUUCUAGAGACUGUUGGGAACUCUUUAAGGACAAGGACUCGGUCAUUUUAAUCUCAACCCCAGGGUCUAGCUUAGAGGAAGUGCCAGGGUAGACUGAAAGCCUCCUACCCCUCACUGACAAAAUGGAGUUUGAAAGAGACUCAACCUUUAUGGAUCUUGCCUUUUCUCAUCUGUAAAUUGUCCUCACAGCUGCCAGAGUUCUGGGAUGGAAUCCACUGAAACAGUGGUUUGCAGACUCAAGGGAGCAGCCUACUCACCUGGAGACUUGUCAAAUAUUGCUGCUCGUGGAUGAGUCUGAUUCAGCUGGUCCAGCUGGUCCUGGGUGGGGACCGGAAGUUUACAUUUGUAAAGAGUUCCCAGGUGAAGCUGCUGCUGCUGCAGCUGGUGAUGCUGGUUCAGGGACCAUGCUUUGGGAACCACCUGCGUGAGAACCACAUUGUUGAAGUAGGUGCUAAAUGUAUUAGUGUUUACUCCAGUAAGGGUUCAGGCCACCUGGCUUGUGAGCCUGACCUACCCUUUGAUUAUCCCACUGUGCCAUGUGCACACAUUCAACACUUUGCAUCUUACCUUCUUGGAAACCCGACCUUAGAUAUUAGAUACCUAAAGAUGUUUUGGUUUUGGGCCGGGGAUUUAGCUCAGUGGUUCUGCUGCCUGCUUCACAAGUUCAAGGUCCUGAGUUCAAUCCCCGGUGCCAGAAAAACAGAAAGAUGUGUUGUUCUCCAGACAGCCAUUUUUAUGGAAGCAGUUUGUCUUCAGACUCUCAUUUUAGUAGUUGGAGACACAUUUAUUUCUUAUCUUGAAGCAGUUAUUUCUCUUACACCUGCCACUCACUGUGUAUUCCUACUCCUCUAUCUCCUUAUCUGGACUGUGGAUACCAAAGGAGUGGCCUUGUUGAGUUUUGAGUCUUGGUUUCCCAGAUGGAAUUAUUUUAUGCAUCCUCGCCAAAGAAAGGCUGAGGUUGGGUUGAGUCAACUUUAUGGAUGCAUUGGGGUGUGCUGAACUCUGGGAUGCUUCCUCACAUUUCCAGCCGACUGCCAUCCAUCAGUCCCCAGGCUGGGCUCCUUGUGUCUAAGAUGUCCUGAAGUCAGUGUCCCUGUUUGGUGGCAGGAACUAGGAUGCUAACAAUGUCCAGAGUCAGCUGUUUCAUCCCUUCUUCUUUUACCUGGUAACAGAUGAGCCUGGCCUGGGCUUCUGAAAGUGAAAGCGAGCUUUUGAUAGCUGGGAAACUGAGGGCCAGAGCUAGGAAGUGAUGUGCUUGAAUUGGACAGUUGCUGGAUCUAGAUAUUAGUGGUUGGCUGUCUGCAAAGAUUGGUUGCAUCUCACUUUUGGUUUUCAUUUGUCUAGAGUGAGUGUGAAAUCACUGCUGGCUUUGUAUCCUCAGUCAAAGAUGGACUAGUUUUUAUUCUGUUAUCUUUAUCCAGCUUUGGCAUUAUCACAAUGUUGAUUUCCUAAAAUGAGGGGAGAAGUGUUCCUUCUUUUUCUGCUUUAAAUGUUUGAUAUAAUUCAUCAGUUAAAAUUUAUAUGAGCCUGUUGUUGUCAUAUGGGUUGGUUUUCAAGCUAGGAAUAUACUUUCUUUAGUAGGUGCUAUUCAAAUUUUAUAUUUCCUCCAAAGUCAGUUUCAUUAAUUUGUCUUCCAAGGUACUUCUUAGAAGUUGUCAAAUUCAUUUCAAAAGGAUUUUUGUAAUAUACUUUCUGUAUCCUUUUAAAUUCUGUAAAAUCUGUGGUAAUGUCCUCUAAAUUUUGAUAUUGUAAUUUUAAAAUGUAUAAUUGAUAUUAUGUAAUAGGAAGAAAAGGUCUAAAGGAGUAGGGGAAGUGGAGGUGUAGGAGAAAGGAAAGAAGGGAAAAAUAUAAGAAAAAGGAAAAAAAUGGAAACACAGUCUUUCUCUUUUUUUUUGGUACUGGGGAUCAAACUCAGGUCCUUGCGCUUGCACAGCAGGCAGCAAAACCACUGAGCUAAAUCCCCGGCCCUGGAAACAAAGUCUUUGUAAAUAGGGAAGGGUGGAAGGGGUGAAGGGAGGUCAGGGGAAUGGGAAAAAAUAAGAACCAAGAUACUCAUGUAAAGGUAGGUACAAGAUCCCAUUGAUGAAUGUAACUCUAUUUUAUACCUAAAAUGUACCAAUAAACUUAAUGGGAAAAAAAAAAUGGACUAGCUGGCAGCGAUGGAUAUUCACUGUCUUUGCCUAGCUUUGCAGUUUCCUCUUGGUUGUGCUUUGUAAAGUAGUCUUCCCCUUUCCACUCCUGCUUCUCAAAAACUAGGAGACACUGAGCCAGUCAUGGUUUGAAUGGAUCGUUUCUGCUGUUUUUCUGACUCUUCUGUUGUCCAGUGCUCUGCCUUCCUCUGCUACCAGCCCCCAGCAGCUAUAGUAUAUUGGCCCUUGUGCUUUCAUAACCAUGAAAACAUGUGGGGAGCGCGUGCCCUGCACAUGCCCCGAUCACAUAUUUGUGACUCUGGAGUCCGAGACGAUUGUGACAGUCUCACAUGGGGCUCUGUGUGGUCACCCUCUGCCCCCCAAGAGAGAACACAAUUAUUGUAUUGUCUGUUGGUAUUCUGGGUUAGCUGCGCGGGUUUGGACAGGGCCUGUUGGUAUCCUGGAAGACAGGAAUAACCGUUUUUCAGCUUUGUACUCUGAUGCUGCCAUUCUAUGGAAGGGGGAGGUUUGGGACACUUUUUCAGGAUCCUCUGGGUGUGCCCUUCAAAGCUCAGCCCCCUGCUUGAUGUUCUUGUCAGCCCAGGGGAGAGGCAGGGCAGGGUUGAUAGGGCAGAUUCUAUGAGCCAGACAGGAAGAGCGCGGUGUGGAGUGUGGGAAAGUGGUGGUGGCUUGAUUGCCCUGGGUGCCGGCCCCCACCCCAGACCUGGUAAAUCGUGCUGAUAUUGGCCAGACAUUGUGUGCCAUUCUUGUUUGGGCAACAUGGCCUCUACCUGAAGCCAAAAGGGAGCCCUCAAGUUCUUUGUUGUACUGGGGAUCAAACCCAGGGCCUUCACACUGAACUACAGCCCUUUUAAAAUUUUUUAUUUUGAGACAGGUCUCACUAAGUCACUAAGUUUCCCAGACUGGGCUUGAGCUUGCCAUCCUCCUGCCUUAGCCUCCCACAGUGGUGGGAUUGCAGUUAUGCACCACCAUCCCUGCUGCAAUGCCAGCUCUGUACCUCCCUUCUUGGGGUUAACAGACUCACUUCUCUAUCCUUGGCAUUCAUCUUGUGGUGUUGAUUAUGCCUUGUGGUCAACCUCUUUGAACAUUUGGUGUCUGUGUAGACUUGUUUGUGAACCUCUGUCUACCUUCAUCUGUCCCUAGCACAGCCAGCCCAGUGAGGGUUGGAUUUGGGACAGGACUUUAAUACCAAGAAGAAGUAAUGAUGGCAGAAGCACAACACGGGGCGUGCAUGGGAUCCAUUAGUUCAGUUCAAAUCAUCUAGAAAAUGCUUAUUUCCACAAAGAAGGCUCUUCUAAGGAACACAGCAUCACAUGCAUAUCUGACUCCUGGGACAGCUCUGCCCCUUGACCCUCCUGGCUCAGUGUGGAGGCUCCCAGGCCCUUGGGUCCCUUGUUCCAGUGGAGGUCCUAGAGGCCUGGGCCUGGCCCAGGGCUAGCCUUGCAAGUGCUGCCUCUCUUCAGGCCCUGGCUGCAGCCAGACUCUUUCUUCUAAAAGCAGAACACAGGAAAUAAAGCCAUUGGGGAAGGACUCUGGGCUCAAAAUUUGCCUGUACUGGGGUUUGAGCAGGGCUGCCUGCCACCUUUGCCCACUGAGACUCUGAUGAGGUCCCCUAGGAAGUGUGAGUGAUAGCAGAUGCAGGGAUUUUGUGUCAACUGCAGAGUCUGCUAGCCACUGGGCAUUUCUGCAUGCUCUGCUGUUGUGGAACCCAGAUAGCUUUGAGCCUAGCCUCUCUGUGGGCUAGGAGGCGCAAGGCUUCAAAUUAGUGUUAACAACACAAUUUUGAUAGGUGUGGGAAACCCCACAGAUGAGAGAUUUCAGCACCUUUUGGCACCAAGAAAGUUGAGACUUGACUUAACGUGGUAACUGUGUUUUUUGUUUCAGCAGACAUUUCCUGAGCAGCUCUUCAUGCCAGGUACUGGGUACUCAGGAGACUAAGGUUGAGUUUGUUCCCUCUCAGUUCGUGGUGGCAGCGACAGCCUCUGGUUCAAACUCUGAGGAAUACAGAAGCACGGGGCCUGACUCAGUAUGUGGUGUGAGCAGGGCUUCCUGGAGGUGGUGACUUGAGCUUAAGCAUAGUUAGUCUGGAGGCUGAGGAGGCUGAGAGGGUGCUGGGAGAGGCAGGAACAAGUGCUAGCCAAAGGGAGCAGUAAAGAUCUGGAAACACGCGAGAUACAUAGGGUAUUUGGGGAACAUGUGGCAGUGUGUGUGUGCGUAUUUUAUUAUGGUGCUGGAGCUCGUUGUACUCAGGCCUUGUGUAUGCUAGGCGAGUGUUCUACCAACUGAACUACAUCCCCAGCCCAAAAUUAAUUUUUAAGUAACAGGCAUUAUGUGCAUGGGUACUAACUGGACGGUGAAUACCAGUUCUCUCCUCAUCCCUUUCCCCCAGCAAACAUCUCGUUCCCUCUUGGGAGGUGCUCCUGUUACCAUUUUGUUUUCUUGUUUAUCUUCUCAGAGAUAGCCCAUGCUUGUGCAAGUGGAUCUAUAUCAAUAAUUUUAUCUUAUAUAUAUUGGUUUUUUAUUUCUUAGCUGCCUCCCAUCAAUGACUUCUUUAUGGAAGGGGCCUGGGCCCCAGUAUGGACUCUCAAAGCCAGACUCACUCAAGGGUGUGGUCAGUAUUGCUCAGACCUCCUGUGUGGACUCUGACCCCUGGACCAUGCCCAGCAGCAGGACUGGGCCUGCGGGCUGAAGCAGCUUCUAGUGUAGCUUUGCUAGCCCUGCCUGCUGUGGUCUUAUGGGCCGAUUCCAGGCCUAUACUAGGCUUUGUGCCUCACAGCUAGCACAGCUCUAGCCAAUGUUUUGUCAGUUUAUUUCUUUAUCUGGUGGUAGUGGGGAUUGAACCUAUGAUAUUUGCACUGAGCUGCACUCUCAGUCCUUUUUCUUUUUCUUUUUGAGACAGGGUCUUUCUCAGCUAAAUUGCCCAGACUCGGUGUGAACCAACUGCCUUGGCUUCUUAGAGUACUAAGAUUAUAGUUGUGCUCCACUAUGCCUGGCUUUUGUCAGUUUCUUAAUGGUUGAAGAAGAGUGCAGAAGGGAGAGUCAGGAUGGCUUUUGCACCCACCGCACAGAGUUGUGAUGAAAGUCCCUGAACUUCUCAGGACCCAAUUAUAUUAUACGGUUUGUUUUAAAAAGUGUACUCUGUGUCUUAGUGCAUUUUAUUUUACCUUUUAUUUCAUUCAUGAUCAGUCACUAAACAUUUUCACUUCUUUGGGAGUAGGGGCUGUGGUUUAUGUGUUCUGUCUUCUGCCUGUAUCAUUAUCCCAGCAGGCACAAAGUAACCACUCAGUAAGGCAUGGUUGAAUAAGUGAAUCUAGUUACUGAUCACAUAGGCUUUUCAGAGCUGACAGUGUGCUGUUAACUCUUCACCAAAAGAACCUGGAACUUCAUUUUCUUGCCCAAAUGCCAGCUUCUGACCAGUACCUAUUAAAUUUCAUCCAUUCUGGUCCCAUCCAGCUGUUCACCCUGACUGACAGGCUUUUCCCUGCCUUUUUAACCUUGUUAUUGUUCUUUUUAAGUUUGAGAAUCUUAAUCAUCAAUGCCACCUCCUUAGUGUGUCUCCUGGCGGAGGUGGCCAGUGUUGGUGGUUUAUGGGGAUCUUCCUUCUUCUAUUCAUUCUCUGGCUCCUCCAGAUGAUGCCAGGGGAAGGUGCCACCCGGCUUGGAGGUGUGUGGAGGAGUGGUGGGAGACUGGUAGUAGCGUUGCUGCUGAUUUACUGACCAAGCUUUCUGAGAGGAAGGGGAAGUCUACACUGAAACCUGGUUCAGUUGGCACCACUAGGGGGACAAUGACAGUAGUGCGACAGCCACAGCAGCAGCUGGUGUAUUUGGCAGUUUAUCAAGCACUUUAGGGUAUGUUGUGGACAAAUAAUAGAAUGAAUCUUUGUUUCUUUUGGGGCCUUGGCUGUUUCUGGUGAGGGAGGUGAUGCACUCAUCUUUGAGAUCAGGGUUACCUUUCACGGUCCUUGGAGUCUUCCUCACAGCUGUGCAGAGGUCUGCUUCAGGGCCUGGAAGAGUUCAGCACGGCCUCCUAGGGUGCCUUGCUUUAGGUAGCGACUCUCUUAGCUGUGUCAUUUCCUCCUUCCCACCCCUGCUCAGAUCUGUGCUCUUUGUCUCUACGAGAGGCCUGGGUGUCAUAUCCAGAGUGCUUAGAAGGAAGUGGAGAAGAGUUUGCAAAUAUGGCACCCUUUCCUUCUCCUGCUCUCCACACCCUGCCAAAAAAUAAAAAAGGACUCGAGACCCAGUGAGUGGUUGCUCUCCCAAAUUUCUUACAUUUAUUUGAUGACUUAUUCAAAGUAAUGUAGAGGUGAAUUUUUUGACUUAGCUUUGAACUAGGACUUAGUGAAAUCCUUAGUAGGAGACAUUUUGUCUAAGGAGUCUGGUGCUAUUUUGGUCUGUCUACAGAUGGCUGCUGUUACACAUAAAGGGAUUCCCACCGUGUUGCUGGGGCUGAUGGCCUGAGUGGUCUUACUGGAGUCGGCCCUGCCCUUGAGAACCCUCUCUGCCAAUAAGGAGUAGAAGGAUGGCUUUGGCAGUUUGAUCUGAAAGGUACCACAGAGGUCGGGUUUACUUGUCAUAUGACAGAUGUGUUGGACACCUGUGAGUCUUUUGUUUUGGUAGAUGUUGUCAUUCUUGAACUUGAAUGUGUGGUAGAGCUUGCAGGGAUAUAGGGUAGAAAAGAGAAGACAGAAGGCUACAAGUGUGAUUGGUAAGCUUGUCUGAUUAAUUUCUAUACAAGACCAAAAUAGGUUGGGGUAUGGCCCAGUCAGGUCAGAAGGGUCAGGUCCUGAAGUAUGAACGAGGUUAGGAUGUGACCUCUGAGGAGGAAACCUGGUGGCCCUCGUGUCAGCAGAGCUCAUUGGUUUCUUCUUGUGUCACCUCCAGUGUUCCAGUGUGAUACUGCUUUGGACCAAUGUGUUAGGGUCAUUAGGUCCCAGGCCCAAGAGAUAAAGAGAUCCACUGCCUUCCCAGUUGUGUCCUAAAUGAUAGCUGCUGAAAGAUUACCUUUCCUCUGUGCUGUGACUGUGGGAGUUCUAUGACAGUGCACUGACUUGUGGCUGUAGCUACUAAUAGGAGUGGUUUUCCCUGCCUCAUGAACUGGAGCCACUGGUAGGAGACCUUUCAGAAUACUAUUAGCUCCAUUGAAAGACACCAAAGCAGAUGAUCCUGCAUACUUCAGUACUGAAUUUGGAAAAUGGACCCCUUCCUGUGCACCUCAACCCUCUGUAGAUACAUAAGAGGAGGGGUGACUCUAUACACCUGCCACUCCCACCCACCCUGUCCACUGCAAGCAGAUCCAAAUGUCAGCAUAGCUUCCUGCGGCCACUCUGUUUUCUGGUAAGUCAUACCUGAGCCACUGUGGCAGGGAAUGAGGAUUGGGGUUUGCUGUUGUCUUAUUUCUUGAGAUUUUGAACACUCUGGGUCAGGUUUGAGCUGGAUAGGAAAGCCACUCUGCAUAUAAUCCACCAUUCUACUUGGUCCAGGGUAGGCUUGGGGGUUCUCAUUUUCAGAUAAGAAAACAGGAUCGAGAAGGUUCAGUGACUUGGUUAAAGCUCCACGUGCUAUGUGACUGCACUUAGACUGUCACUAGUCAGAGACAGAACUUGUUUAGCCCAGCUACCCUUUAGGCAGUUGAGGGUACCAGGCCCAAAGAAGGGGAAGUGACCUGGCAGAUUAGGUGGAGCUGGCCAUUGCUACAAACAGACCCCUAUGCCUCCUAAGUCUUACUCAGCACAGGCUACACGGUCUCUUGUUUGUGCACCUUUAUUUUUAAAAAAUUAUUAUUUUUUAACCCCUCAUCUCUCUGUUUUUAAUCAUGGGUUGGUUAAAUUCAGUAUGCUUUAAAUGGGUCUGACUGAAGAACAGGUCAUGGUUGUCUUAAGCUAAGUGGCUUAACAUUAUAGAUUAUCUUUGGGGCCCUUGCUCUCUGCUCACCCCCUCUGGUUCCCUGCCCAUUCUUGCCCUCACCUUGGUGUGGUGGAGAAGGCAGCGUGUAGCUCUCUGUACCCACCCAGUAAGUAUAAGUUCUCCUCACCUCCUGUCCUCAGUCUCCUUCGUUUUGAGUUUGUUCAGCAAAUUCUUAUCUGUAGCAUGCUCUUCUGUUAGAGUGUUUGGUGAGCUUAAAUGACAUGAGUGGUAGUGAGAAUCCUGGGAGUGCUUAUAGGAAACUUGUCUUUCAGUUAUUUCUCAUUGAUAAAUGAGCUCUUGACAAGUCAUGCAUGCAGUUGGCCUCAGUUUCAAGAAACAACAUGGGCUGUCUUGUUCCCAUGUUCAGAUUUGUUUUGGCUUAGGAUCGCAGCACUUUCAUGUCCUUGAAUAAUGUCACCCUCCCCUCCCCCAAUGUUAUUUGCUUAAAAAAGCAGAAAAUCCCUACAACACUGUGAGAGUGACUGAAAAGUACUAGAGAAUAGAGUCCUGAUUUGGUUCCACAGCUCAUCUUACUGUUUUCCUCAUUAAGAGAGACCCAUAGGGGAAUCUGGGCCAUUUUGUUCAGCCAGGGGCACAGGUUGAGUUUUUCUAGCCAUGUAAUGUGACUGCCAGUCCCUCCCCAAAUGUGGGCUUCAAGUGGCCUUUGACACCUGAAAGAGGGGGCUAGGGAAUAUAUAUUCAUUUUAGUUAUUGAAGUAAACACCUCCAAAGACAUGUUUUUUUCUGGAGUGAGGGACAGGAAUGGGGGUAAGUGUGCCCUCUCUGUUUAAGGAUAGCAGAUGGUUUGUGCCUAAAGCAGGAAAGUGUCUCUCAUCCUCCUGAAUGCCUUGCAUGCAGUCCUAGGAGUGAGGCACUGAGAGACUCAAAAGCAUAUUUUCUGCCAAGGAGCUCAUGCUAUGUCUGUGGAGGCCAGGUAUUUUAAAAAGUCAGUUUACAAGUAUUUAGUAAGUGCCUACUCUCUGGUAGGAAUUGUGCUCACUUAAGGAUUUCAGUACUUCUAGGGACAUUUUUGUCAUGCCCACACCUUACAGGGCAUUACCUCCUUAACCAUCUUAUUCCUGAAAUGAGCAGGACAAGGAUAGCUUUUUAUCUAUUACAAGGGAAGAAAAUGAGCUUAGCAGAGUUGUGUAGAUUAUCUUGGGUCAUACAGCUCAUCUGGGAUGGAGCAGGGAAGUGUAGCUUAGGGACUCGAAGUCCAGUGCUCUUUCCCAACUUUGGUACUGGCUUAGGAAAUAAACAUUAGUGAGGUUUCUUGCUGUGGCAGGUUCAGUGCUGAGGCCAGAGGAUGACCGAGGCAGGUGUAGACCUAGGUUGCACAUGUGGUGGGGAGCUCCCAGCCCCAAUUAGAAAUGAACUUUGAGAGGGGAGGACAGAGUGGCCUGUGGUGGAGAGUGGAAGGGAGAGGACCAGGAAAUUGAGGGCAGGUGAACACAGAUUUUGGCUGGGGUAGCAAGAAGCCAAUGGAACUUUCUUCUGUCCCGGGAACACCCUGAGUUUCCUGGGUGACACUUCCCCUUCUGUGUGCACCCAGCUUGGCUGCACAUCGGUACAAUUAAGUAUGGAGAGUGAUGAUUCUCUGUCCUGCUUCCCUGUUCUCCAAGACACUCCCUCAACUGCCCACUGCCCAUCCUCCCUGCCUGUAGUGGGACUCUUGGUGCCGUGCUUCAGCAUUAAGUUCUGGAAGGUUGAUGUUUGGCCUAGAGUUGCUCAGGAUGAGCUGUAUUUGAGAGGGGGUGUAUUGAAAGCUCACUGCUUCACUGUGACGCAGUGACUGUGCUUCAGUGUUUGUCCAUUAACUGAGAAAUCAAGUACGUGCUUAUAGAAUAUCAUGAAAUGCAUAGGUCCUAGAGUUAGAUCUAGUAGUUGAGACAAAACCUUGGAAGUUCAGGACAUGUGGGUUGAGCCUUUGUGCCUUGCUCAGAACUGGGUGACCUCGGGCCUGGACUUUAGUUUUCCCCUCAUGUAAAACGGGAUAAGCACAGUGCCCUUCUGUAGUUACCCUCUGAGGAUGCAGUUGUGAUGCCUAUUAUUUAUUUCUGAUGUGUCAAAGGUAGACUGUGUCACCCAUUAUUUCUGCAGAUAGAGACCAAGAAGAGCUAGGAAAAUGGUACUAAAAAGUUGAUGUUUUUGCUGAAUGCUGCCUUUAUUGUAGGAUUUCCUUAAAUCAUUGGUAUUGAGCAUGUCCUUUAUAUUAGAGUAUUGACUAAAGAGGGUUUUUUUGGGGGGGGUCCUCUUUUUUUCUUUUAUCAAUGAUUUUUUAGUAGCACCCAGGCUUCUGGACUGAGGGGGUUAGUUGAAAUGUUCAUUGUAGUGAGAAUCACAUAUUCUGGGGACCUAUUCUCUGGUUGAAACUCCAGACUGUCUUUCCAGUAUCUGCUUGGUUUGAGAAAGUGAAUCUCUGGGUAAAGUGCCUAGGCAGCUUUUCACUUUUUUCUUUGAAACACAGCUGACACAGAUAGCAAGGGAAGGGCAUCACUAGGCAGAUUCCUUUCCCUUCUCUUCUGCAUAGGGAGCUUACCUGUAGAAUCCAGCUCCCUUCAACCCUUCUUGGGUAUUUUGCUAGUCUCAGCAUCAGGCAGAAGACAGUAUGACUUCAAGAAGUACACUUACCCAAAUGUUUGUAAAUUUGCUUCUAGAUUUUGUCUACAGAUGACUUUUGUUACACCAACACUGAAGUUAUGAAAGUUUAAAAGUGCCCGAGACCUUCACAAAGAUCUUGGGGAAUUGCUGUUUCCCUCCCAUUUCCUUUGCUUAAUGGGAGGGGGAAGUGGAAGCUCUGAGAGCAGUGAUUUGCUCAAGCCAUCAGGAAAAUCACUGUUGGUGGCCAGUUGAUGUUUAGGUUUUGGUUCGAGUCCUAUUCUUAAGGCAAUGAGAUAAAUAUUUCUCUUCUGUAAAACCAACAUGGGCAAGUAGGCUAGGUUAAAUAAAGACACCAAAAGAAGGUUAAGUUUAAUAGUUUAUACCGAGUUGUAGAGUUGGCAGGACUUUCUUGUGUGCACCACAUGGGGUUCUUUCUGAUUCGUGAAAAGAUGAGAGUCUCAGACUAUAGUGCUCUGACAGCUAUGUUCAAGGGUUGCAAGCAUGUGAAGAUUCACUGAAGACUGAAGAAAAAGAGAAAGAACAUUUCACAUUCAAAAGAACUCCUGUGAGUGAGCAAAACCAUCUCUGUCCCUGUAUUGUCAGAGAGAGUAGCUCAAGGAGGCAGCUCACGGCUGGCCUUGCCCCUGCUAUCUAUAGGAUACUGGACAAAUGAUGUGACUUCCUGGAGACUCAGUCUCCUCAUCUGGAAAACAGGAAUACUACUAAUAGCAGUGCCUAGGCAUGUGGAGGAACCCAUAGUUGAUGCUCAGGGAGGUGAGGUUGAGGGCUGUGGCCCAAAGCGCAGUUGUGUGAGGGAGCAUGGGACUGGGGGUCCUCUCUGGGGCAGGAGUGAUACGGCUCUGGCCCUGGGCCUCUCACGGACCAGGGACAGUGACUGGCCAUGUGUGUACCCUCUCUCAUCCUGUAUACCUUGCUCCAGACCCAAUGCUGGGGAGCUCUGGGCUGUUCUUGUGCAGAUACAGCCUUGGGGAUUGGGCAUAGGCUGGAACCUUCUGCCACAACAUCUGCACCUAGGGACCAAGAGAGUGGUCCGGGAAGUUGGAUCAGGGAGCAAUGGAAAGUUUGCCUUGAGCUUUUGCUUCUUUGGUGGAAAUCUUAGGACGAGUCACUGAAUGGGGGCUCCUGGAGUCAGAGCCAGAGAGCAGUAGAGAUAUUCCCAUGUUCAGGUCGAGAUGCCAGCUUAGGGGAGACCCCUCCCCAGAUACUGAUCCGCCCUACAGAUAAUGGAGGCAGGAUGAGGGGCCUUGUGUCUACAUUGCCCAGGUAGUUCCAGCAGGGGCUGGAGGAGAAUAUGGGGACUGGGAAUUGAUAAUAGAAGGUUUAAAUAGAGACCAAGGGAACUAUGGAAGAGAUGCUGGGGAUGUGCGCAGAUGGGAAGUGCUGCCCAUAAUUACUUUUUGCACACUAAUGCCUGG
ensembl:lncRNA